GAUGAACGCUGGCGGCGUGCCUAAUGCAUGCAAGUCGAGCGAACAGACGAGGAGCUUGCUCCUUUGACGUUAGCGGCGGACGGGUGAGUAACACGUGGGUAACCUACCUAUAAGACUGGGAUAACUUCGGGAAACCGGAGCUAAUACCGGAUAAUAUUUCGAACCGCAUGGUUCGAUAGUGAAAGAUGGCUCUGCUAUCACUUAUAGAUGGACCUGCGCCGUAUUAGCUAGUUGGUAAGGUAACGGCUUACCAAGGCAACGAUACGUAGCCGACCUGAGAGGGUGAUCGGCCACACUGGAACUGAGACACGGUCCAGACUCCUACGGGAGGCAGCAGUAGGGAAUCUUCCGCAAUGGGCGAAAGCCUGACGGAGCAACGCCGCGUGAGUGAUGAAGGUCUUCGGAUCGUAAAACUCUGUUAUUAGGGAAGAACAAACGUGUAAGUAACGGUGCACGUCUUGACGGUACCUAAGCAGAAAGCCACGGCUAACUACGU
rnacentral:rRNA from 1 species